GCCCCUCAUAAAACGGGGGCCGGGAUUGGAACCCCGCUGGAUACAAAGGCGCACAACCGCGCGAGCGGUUUUUUU
rnacentral:sRNA from 1 species